UGAGGAAUAUUGGUCAAUGGGCGAGAGCCUGAACCAGCCACGUAGCGUGAAGGAUGAAGGUCCUAUGGAUUGUAAACUUCUUUUAUAGUAGAAUAAAGUGAUCCACGUGUGGAUUUUUGUAUGUAUACUAUGAAUAAGGAUCGGCUAACUCCGUGCCAGCAGCCGAGGUAAUACGGAGGAUCCGGGCGUUAUCCGGAUUUAUUGGGUUUAAAGGGUGCGUAGGCGGAAUAAUAAGUCAGUUGUGAAAGUUUGCGGCUCAACCGUAAAAUUGCAGUUGAUACUGUUAUUCUUGAGUGUACAUAAGGUAGGCGGAAUUCGUGGUGUAGCGGUGAAAUGCUUAGAUAUCACGAAGAACUCCAAUUGCGAAGGCAGCUUACCGGGGUACAACUGACGCUGAGGCACGAAAGUGUGGGUAUCAAACA
rnacentral:rRNA from 1 species